rnacentral:sRNA from 1 species
UUACAAGGCCUUUGCAAUCUUCAUAUGCUUUAUCGGAAUCAUCAUUCAUUUACAGGCCAAACUCGUCAUCUGUGCUUAGAACUGCAGUUAGCAGUGUGCCAUUGCCAUCUUGGAGUUAUAAUCUUACGCCACAAGUUGGUAUUCUUCCUAAAGUGAUAAAAGCUUGGUGCUUGAGCAAAAUCUAAAAGGACAUGUUAAGCGGUGUCCAUUGUUGAAACAGACUCAGUCCUUAUUUGUCUAACCUUUCUAUCAAAAGGGUAUCAUUGUUGGCUCUGAUGGAGAGGAGGAAACAUCCGGGGUUGAUGAUUAAAGUUUGCCAACAAAACCAGUUUCUUCCUAAAUGAAGAGGAAUGCUCUUCAUGGAAUGAGUGUGCCUGAAUUUUGCAAGUUGAUUGAAAAGAUUGAAUUUCUUCAUGAGUCUUUGUGUAAAAAUAUUCAGGACUCAAUUCAAAUGUUAGAGGUCUGCAGCCUAUGGAUUAAAAGAGGAGUUGAAGAUAGGUAGCUAUUAGUGAAUUCUCUGAAUUUAUUUAAUGUCAAAUUUUGAUUACCUUAUGAGUUGUAAAAUAAU